GACCUUACCUGGCUGGGGGGCUCUCGCGAUCAAGAAGGCGGGUCCCCCAUGGUGAGGCCGUGCAUUGCACUUUGGCAUGGGCUGACCCGUGUGGCUGCUUCGAGUUGAAGUAAGCCAACAGCUAAAUUUUUGCGUGUAGUGACGUGAUAGUUGGAUAGUUGGCACCAA
rnacentral:snRNA from 1 species